CGUUAUGCCAAGGGCAAGGUUUUGUUCUCACCUGAGUGUUUUGACACUGCAUAAUUUGAUAGUAAACAAAUUAUGUCACGUUUGGCGUGUACUCCUUCAUAUUUUUGAAAAGCCACUAGAGGGUGCUACUUUGCUAGAAAAAUACAAGUACUUCCUUACAGUAACAUUUUCAGUCUGCAGCCGCGACGUCUGAUGUUAGGGACUAGAACUGAGAUCUCUGCUGUGGGCCACCUUCUUCUCUGCUGAUCUCUUCCUGGGACUUCCAGACACAGAGACCUCAGUAGGAGCUGCUGCUUCCAAGAAGGUACAUUGAGAAAGAGCCACCCCUGCCUUCAGCAGCCACCAUCCUGAUCAAUGAGCAGCCAUCAACAUUGAGACAAGAUUUCACCAGCAAAAAGAUUACAGCUCACUGAUGACUCAGAUGAUCUUUAGUAUUUUUUGGCAAUA
rnacentral:lncRNA from 10 species